rnacentral:rRNA from 1 species
UAGGGAAUCUUCGGCAAUGGGGGGAACCCUGACCGAGCAACGCCGCGUGAGUGAAGAAGGUUUUCGGAUCGUAAAGCUCUGUUGUUAAGGAAGAACGAGUGUGAGAAUGGAAAGUUCAUACUGUGACGGUACUUAACCAGAAAGGGACGGCUACUACGUGCCACCAGCCGCGGUAAUACGUAGGUCCCGAGCGUUGUCCGGAUUUAUUGGGCGUAAAGCGAGCGCAGGCGGUUAGAUAAGUCUGAAGUUAAAGGCAGUGGCUCAACCAUUGUAGGCUUUGGAAACUGUUUAACUUGAGUGCAGAAGGGGAGAGUGGAAUUCCAUGUGUAGCGGUGAAAUGCGUAGAUAUAUGGAGGAACACCGGUGGCGAAAGCGGCUCUCUGGUCUGUAACUGACGCUGAGGCUCGAAAGCGUGGGGAGCGAACAGGAUUAGAUACCCUGGUAGUCCACGCCGUAAACGAUGAGUGCUAGGUAUUAGGUCCUUUCCGGGACUUAGUGCCGCAGCUAACGCAUUAAGCACUCCGCCUGGGGAGUACGACCGCAAGGUUG